ACCUGUCCAGGGUGACCCCACCUCUCGCCAGGGAUGUUAGCUGGAGAGGGACCAGCACCUCCCGAUCCCAUCAGGGACAAAGGUGGUAGAAAGUGAAUGGAUGGAGGGAUGGCAUUAUGAAUGAUUAUAUUAUGAUUAGUUUUUCAGUGUACAGAAUGGAUGACCUGACUGAUUUCCUGAGACAAAGGCAUAUUCCAGAGGAAACUAUUGAGACCAUGCUGAGAGAGAAGAUCGAUACCAACGUCAUCCAGCUCAUGACAGAUGAAGAGCUCAAGAAUUAUUUGCCAUCAUAUGGAGACCGCAUAGCGCUAUUAGGAUACUGUAAAAGGAUGGAAAAUGGCCCCCCAAGCAGUCGCAAAUCAAAACAGUUUGAUCGCCUGAAAUCAAAGCUGGGUAAAAGAAAAAAUGCUCAGGAAGAUGGCUGUGGUAUGGAAAAAGAAGAGCUAUGUGAAACUGUAAAGAAGAAUGCUCUAAAGUCAAAGAGAAAAAUAGAAAUAGGUUGGCUGCUUUAUGAUGAAGAAGAACAGGCUUUUAAACAAGUAAGAGCAAGAAGAGGUGGUGGAAUAAGGAAGGUUGAUGUAUCAAAGGAUGCUAAAAAAAAGUGAGAUAAUCCAGAUGGCUAUUGGCCUCUUCUUUCCAAAUGGAAGAAAUAGAGAAGGCUCCAUAGCAGAUUUUGAAAUAGAUCUAAAAGAUUAUCAGGAAGUGGCAAUUGAUGAUAAAAUCACUGUUGGUCAAAUGUUUCAUGUUACAAAACUGACUAUUCUCAGGUUUUACCUGAACACCCAUAAAAAAAGCUAACCAGUCAGUCAGUCAAGAUGAAGUUUUGUCUUCACCAGUUUUUCAGUAUCAAGACAGUUCUCUGAGUCAGCCCUCUUCUUCUUCCUCCUCAUCUGCUCUAAAUUUUGCAAUGACCAGCCAAUCUACAAUAUCCACAGAAGUAACUUCUGACUUACUAUUUGUUGGAAACAUAAUAAAUCAUGACAACAUUAACUUUUCACUUCUUUCUACAGAGCUUAGGGAGGAGGAUUUGGAUAGCAGUAACAUAGUGUUUCUAGGACCGUUUUCUGACACUGAGCCACAGAUUUUGGAUGAUACUUUGCCAAUAUCUCCUCAAUCCACAUCAUCUGGAAAGGCAGUGAAGAAGAUACUGAUAGUUUACAGAGGGCAGGUACUUCCUGAGCUCAUAGCACACUUCUGUGAUGACGGACUUCUAGAUAGAGAUUUCAAAAUCCAGCUUGUACUGCCAGAUGGAACACCUGAGAUGGGUUAUGAUGAUGGAGGAGUUGUUAGAGACUGUCUUUCUGAGUUCUGGAAAGAAUUCUAUGACCAGUGUACUACAGGAAACACUUAUAAAGUGCCUUUUCUGAGACAUGAUUAUGGACAGCAGCAGUGGGAGAGUGUAGGCCGAAUAAUUGUUUUUGGAUGGACAAGAGAGAAAUAUCUUCCUAUGAAGAUUGCACCUGUCAUAUUAGAGCAAGCAGCCUUUGGACAGGUAAAAAGUGAGGUGGUGGAGAAUUUCCUUAAGUGCAUGUCUGAAUCUGAGCGCUUUGUGUUUCAGUCAUGGCAGUCAGACUUCAGCAGUGUUGACAUAGAGGAACUGAUAGAAAUUCUUGAUAACCACAGUUGCAGAUGAAUGCCCACUGCCAGCAAUGUAAACAAAAUCCUCCAGGAGCUUGCACACAAAACACUUGUCCAGGAGCCUGCUUACGUUAUUGAACAGUGGGCCAAAACACUCAGUGUCACUGGGACAGCCUCCAGGACCUUUCUUCAGUGUAUGAAAACUUGCAACCAAAUGCAAGAAAAGUUUUGAAGUCCAUUGUCUUUCCUGAGGAAAUGAAUGUCCAUCAGAAGGACAUUCAACAGUACGUUAGUACGUAUAUCAAGAACGCUGAUUUCCAGCAUCUGUCCUUGUUUCUAAGGUUCUGCACAGGUUCAGACCUGUUCCUGGAUAAGAAAAUUCUUAUUGAUUUCACAAAGAUUCAAGGGUUUCUCAGAAGACCUGUGGCUCACACAUGUGGCUGUGUCAUUGAGCUGUCAAUCUAUCAUGAUAGCUAUCCAGAUUUCAGGGCUGAAAUGAACAAGAUUUUGAAGUCUAAUGUAUGGGUCAUGGACAUUAUUUAGUUUUGAAAGUGGUGGAGGUAGAGGGUGGAGUUCCACAGUUGUGGAAUAAUAAGAAAGGGGAAUUAAUUAAAGUAACAAGUUGCCUAUCAAGCUCUAUUUAGAUGUUUUGAGGAUUUUCUCACUAUUUUCCUUGUCAGAGUUUAAGGUUUUAGAGAUAACAUUUUACCAGGGUGAUGUUACCCUUCCCAAACUUUCUCCAGAUGUAAUGAAAAGGGAUAGACUGCUUGCGAUAGGUAAAUGCUGGUUUGUGCAGCAUAGAUGUUGGUUUGUUUAAGGAUAAGUUGUCAAAAUUCAACAAGGGAGAUAUUGUACCAGACAUGCUCAAGUUCUGCAUAUCUGUUAACUGUCAGGGGAGCAGUCAAAAAUUCUUUCUGAAAAGCCAUGAUGCCAGAAAACACAAUGUAGCUGACUUUUGUUAUGCCAUAAUUAACAUGUUAAUUGUUAACUGACAUUAUAAAUCAAAAGAUGUAAAGCAAAAAUGACUGUAGGACAUGUUUAGAAGUUCACAGCCAAAAUAAACAAAAAGUAAAAAAAUAGGAACUGUUUAUUGUUAUUCUAUCUUUUUAUGAGACACAACUGUGUUGACAGUUGUACUUGUUACAUUGCAUUCAUAUUCAUAAUAAAAUCGUUUUUGCACAAUGGAUUUCUUUUGUGGAAGGUUAUAAAAAGAGUCUUCUUUUUUGUUUUACUGGGCACAACUUGGUAAAUCCCUUUAUCUUAAGCUUAUUAAAUGAGUGUACUAUUUAUACCCAAGGCAAGUUUUUCUUAAGCCCUUGUGAUUUAUUUUUGGGGAUGUCAAAAUAAUGGAUUGUUCUUUGU